GCGGGUUUAGCUCAGUUGGGAGAGCGUCAGACUGAAGUUCACUUCACUCAUUAAUCUGAAGGUCGUGUGUUCGAUCCACACAAACCGCA
rnacentral:tRNA from 1 species